AUACCUUUCUCGGCCUUUUGGCUAAGAUCAAGUGUAGUAUCUGUUCUUAUCAGUUUAAUAUCUGAUAUGUGGGCCAUUGGCUCACACGAUAUUAAAUUCAUUUUUUAAUGGGGAAGAUCUAUUAAGGCAGCUUGCUAUCUAGGUCUUUGAGCGUCGCUAAUGUGUUGCACUACUGCAUGGGCCUGGCGCACCCCAC
rnacentral:snRNA from 1 species